AGUGAAAUUGCUGGGUCAUAUGGCAACUGUUUAACCUUUUGAGGAGCUGCCAAACUGUUUUCCAAAGCAACUGCACCAUUUUACAUUCUCAUCAGCAAU
rnacentral:pre_miRNA from 2 species